rnacentral:rRNA from 1 species
CCUACGGGUGGCAGCAGUGGGGAAUCUUGCACAAUGGGGGAAACCCUGAUGCAGCGACGCCGCGUGAAGGAAGAAGUAUUUCGGUAUGUAAACUUCUAUCAGCAGGGAAGAAAAUGACGGUACCUGACUAAGAAGCCUCGGCUAACUACGUGCCAGCAGCCGCGGUAAUACGUCGGGGGCAAGCGGUAUCCGGAUUUACUGGGUGUAAAGGGAGCGUAGGCGGUGCAGCAAGUCAGAAGUGAAAGCCCGGGGCUCAACUCCGGGACUGCUUUUGAAACUGUUGCACUAGAGUGCAGGAGAGGUAAGUGGAAUUCCUAGUGUAGCGGUGAAAUGCGUAGAUAUUAGGAGGAACACCAGUGGCGAAGGCGGCUUACUGGACUGUAAAUGACGCUGAGGCUCGAAAGCGUGGGGAGCAAACAGGAUUAGAUACCCCUGUAGUC